GAGUUGCGAACGGGUGAGUAACGCGUAGGUAACCUGCCUGGUAGCGGGGGAUAACUAUUGGAAACGAUAGCUAAUACCGCAUAAUAUUNAUUAUUGCAUGAUAAUUGAUUGAAAGNUGCAANUGCANCACUACCAGAUGGACCUGCGUUGUAUUAGCUAGUAGGUGAGGUAACGGCUCACCUAGGCGACGAUACAUAGCCGACCUGAGAGGGUGAUCGGCCACACUGGGACUGAGACACGGCCCAGACUCCUACGGGAGGCAGCAGUAGGGAAUCUUCGGCAAUGGACGAAAGUCUGACCGAGCAACGCCGCGUGAGUGAAGAAGGUUUUCGGAUCGUAAAGCUCUGUUGUAAGAGAAGAACGGGUGUGAGAGUGGAAAGUUCACACUGUGACGGUAUCUUACCAGAAAGGGACGGCUAACUACGUGCCAGCAGCCGCGGUAAUACGUAGGUCCCGAGCGUUGUCCGGAUUUAUUGGGCGUAAAGCGAGCGCAGGCGGUUAGAUAAGUCUGAAGUUAAAGGCUGUGGCUUAACCAUAGUACGCUUUGGAAACUGUUUAACUUGAGUGCAGAAGGGGAGAGUGGAAUUCCAUGUGUAGCGGUGAAAUGCGUAGAUAUAUGGAGGAACACCGGUGGCGAAAGCGGCUCUCUGGUCUGUAACUGACGCUGAGGCUCGAAAGCGUGGGGAGCGAACAGGAUUAGAUACCCUGGUAGUCCACGCCGUAAACGAUGAGUGCUAGGUGUUAGGCCCUUUCCGGGGCUUAGUGCCGCAGCUAACGCAUUAAGCACUCCGCCUGGGGAGUACGACCGCAAGGUUGAAACUCAAAGGAAUUGACGGGGGCCCGCACAAGCGGUGGAGCAUGUGGUUUAAUUCGAAGCAACGCGAAGAACCUUACCAGGUCUUGACAUCCCGAUGCCCGCUCUAGAGAUAGAGUUUUACUUCGGUACAUCGGUGACAGGUGGUGCAUGGUUGUCGUCAGCUCGUGUCGUGAGAUGUUGGGUUAAGUCCCGCAACGAGCGCAACCCUUAUUGUUAGUUGCCAUCAUUCAGUUGGGCACUCUAGCGAGACUGCCGGUAAUAAACCGGAGGAAGGUGGGGAUGACGUCAAAUCAUCAUGCCCCUUAUGACCUGGGCUACACACGUGCUACAAUGGCUGGUACAACGAGUCGCAAGUCGGUGACGGCAAGCUAAUCUCUUAAAGCCAGUCUCAGUUCGGAUUGUAGGCUGCAACUCGCCUACAUGAAGUCGGAAUC
rnacentral:rRNA from 1 species